rnacentral:lncRNA from 1 species
CCUGACGCGGGAGCACGGCUCGGCUCCUCCGUCGGGGGAGUUUUGUUUUCUGAAUCCCCCCCAGAGCGCCCCCCUCUUUCACACCUAGGGGAAAGCAGAGGCUGGAGGGCACCCCACUCCCUCCCCGCGGGCGGACCCCCGGGCCAGCGGGAAGGGCUGGGGGCUCAUGCUUCCGCUGCACGUGGGACCUGACUUCGGGGACCCUCUUUAAGGCCUGCGCACGAAGAUUCCCGUUUACCCACCACUGAAGCUGAGGGACGUUGGCUCCAGGUCCUGCAGCAGUGCAGCACCAAGGUCACCAGACUCACAGCAGAGGUUGAUGGUCAGACACCCCCAGGGAAGCCUCCAGACGACCACCCACCUUGAACUCCUGCGUUCCGGGAACUUUACCUCCCUGCUUCUCCCAGUGUGCAGGGAAAUCGAUGCCAGUGCAUCACAGGAGCUGAGAAGGGUAAGACCACGGAUCCUAGCCUGGGGUGCCGAUCCCAACCUCUGCCCGGCUCUGAAGAUGGCAGGCCCCGCCCUGGCUCCUCUCCACCAGGCCCUUCUCCAGACGCCACCCCUCAAGCAAGAAGAUAAUGUGUUUUAUCGGGGGCAUUUAUUACCCACAAUUGCUACAUAAAUCUCCCUGCAUACACAUACAUAUACAUAAGAGGCGGAUAAAUAUGCGGGGCCGUGCCCACUCUCCCUGAUGGAGUCGACUUGCCCCGUAAAGAUAACGGGAAAUGAUUCAUAAUAUUUAUUUGACAGACAUGAUAUGAACCGUAAUAGCCUGUUGGGAUUAAAAAUAUCCGUACGUCUCUGUCACCCACCAAUGUGGUUUAAAUAUUAUAUAUGUGGCCACUGCAGCAAUAGGGAGAUGGGAACUGUUAUUGAUAGCGGCCAUAAAGAGAAGCCGUUUUGCAUUGAAGAAUGGGAAAAGUAACUGAGGAGUUUGCCUAAUGCUCUUUGGUGCUUGAUUCCAAAGAAACCGUACUUAAAAGUGGGGCUCCCCUGGCCCCAGGCCGCCCCACACGCGCUGUUCUACAGCCCUCGCCUGGUGGCGUCCCCAGAGGGCCUGGCCUGGCUCCGGGCUGUAGCUCGGCGUCUGAUGAAGCUGCCAUCCCCACAGCAGAGGCCGGCAGGGUCUGGGCCCCACCCCUUCUGACUGGAGACCCCCUCCUCCAACGACUGGUCAGCCUGUCUCCAGCUUCCCUCCACCCAGCAUGGAGCAGGGGCCCCUGCCAGCCACCCCGACCUUCCAGUCACUCCCAGCCUAAAAACCCUUCCACUCUCCCCAUUACCCUCGGGAUGAAGUCCAGGUGCCCCUGAGUCAUCUCCCUCCUGCCAGCACCCCGCCCUUCCCAGAGCCACCUCCUUCCAGCCAGCACCAGCAGACUGCUCUCCUGGAUCGUGGUCCACACCUGGCCACUCCACAUUCCCCUUGAAGGCCCGGCCCCAACAUGGCCCCUCUAAGCCUGGCUAGGGCUCCUCUGCCCUGCGGCACCCUGCACCCUCCAUCCCCUGUGACAUCCAUUUGUUUCCUUGAUGUUCCCCCUGGCCUGGGAGCGUGCCCAGGCUGGGGACCGGGAAUCACCGCUUUCCGUUUCCCCACCGGGCACAUCAUGGGAGCUCACCACGUU